GAUGAACGCUAGCUACAGGCUUAACACAUGCAAGUCGAGGGGCAGCGGUAUCGAAAGCUUGCUUUCGGUAGCCGGCGACCGGCGCACGGGUGAGUAACGCGUAUCGAACCUGCCUCAUACUCGGGAAUAGCCUUGCGAAAGUAAGAUUAAUGCCCGGUGUUUUCAGAGUCCCGCAUGAGGCUUUGAACAAAGAUUUAUCGGUAUGAGAUGGCGAUGCGUCCCAUUAGCUUGUUGGCGGGGUAACGGCCCACCAAGGCAUCGAUGGGUAGGGGUUCUGAGAGGAGGGUCCCCCACAUUGGAACUGAGACACGGUCCAAACUCCUACGGGAGGCAGCAGUGAGGAAUAUUGGUCAAUGGGCGGAAGCCUGAACCAGCCAAGUAGCGUGCAGGAAGACGGCCCUCCGGGUUGUAAACUGCUUUUAGUUGGGAAUAAAACGGGGCUCGUGAGCCCCCUUGCAUGUACCAUCAGAAAAAGGACCGGCUAAUUCCGUG
rnacentral:rRNA from 1 species